UCCAGACUCCUACGGGAGGCAGCAGUGGGGAAUAUUGCACAAUGGGGGAAACCCUGAUGCAGCGACGCCGCGUGAGCGAAGAAGUAUUUCGGUAUGUAAAGCUCUAUCAGCAGGGAAGAAAAAUGACGGUACCUGAGUAAGAAGCACCGGCUAAAUACGUGCCAGCAGCCGCGGUAAUACGUAUGGUGCAAGCGUUAUCCGGAUUUACUGGGUGUAAAGGGAGCGCAGGCGGUGCGGCAAGUCUGAUGUGAAAGCCCGGGGCUCAACCCCGGGACUGCAUUGGAAACUACCGAACUAGAGUGUCGGAGAGGUAAGUGGAAUUCCUAGUGUAGCGGUGAAAUGCGUAGAUAUUAGGAGGAACACCAGUGGCGAAGGCGGCUUACUGGACGAUAACUGACGCUGAGGCUCGAAAGCGUGGGGAGCAAACAGGAUUAGAUACCCUAGUAU
rnacentral:rRNA from 1 species